rnacentral:lncRNA from 1 species
GGGAUGCAUGAUAAACUUGGAGCUAUGGGCCUCUGUCAUGAUGUCUCUCUUUAACUCACUAUCUCCUGAAACACACACCCUGUCAUGGAAUCUAAGCAGCCCAUCGGUGGAGACUCAGAAUUCUGAACUGACUCCCUGUUCUGCAUCUUUCUUGAGGGCUACUAGGGCGGAAUCGGCAGACUGAGCUUCCCUUAUUCUCUGGAUUAACUCAAGCUGAACGAUCAGAUGACCCAAACAUGUGACUCUUCUCAAGUCCUGAAGUCGAACCUGUUGUGUGGCCCCAAUCUGCUUACAUUCUGAAACCAUCAAAUAGGCUAAUGUACCUGUACUUUUUC